rnacentral:rRNA from 1 species
UUCUAUAUGAAAUUUUAUAUAGUAUAACCUGCUCAAUGUCACUAAUAAAUAGCCGCAGAUUCUGUGCUAAGGUAGCAUAAUAACUUGCUUCCUAAUUAGAAGAUAGAAUGAAAGGUAAAACGUUUAAUUUUCUGUCUCUAAAAAAAAGAACGAAAUUAAAAUAAAAGUUAAAAUUCUUUUAAUAAUAAGUGGGACGAUAAGACCCUGAUAAACUAAAUUUUUAGUUGGGGAAACAAUUUAAUAAAUAUUUAACUAUAUCUAGUACAAAACUAUAAUAUAUAACUAAGCUAAGUUACUACAGGGAUAACAGCGUUAUUUCUUUUAAGAGUUCUUAUCAAAAAAGAAGUUUACGACCUCGAUGUUGAAUUAGUGUCCUAAAAAGAGCAAAAUCUUUAAUAAGGGUGGUCUGUUCGACCAUAAAAUAUCU